CUGAGAUAAAAAAUACAUCGUUUUUGCUCUGACCCUUUAAGAUUGGUGUAUUUCAUUAUUAUUAUUAUUAUUUAUUAAGGAAAUAAUCGAAUAUAAUUUGAAUAGCUAAAGGAGCAAUUACUGUCAACAUUGUGCUUCAUGGCGGAACUUUCAAGAGGAAGUAGCCCACAAUUGUGUGAUGCCUUCACGAAAAUAUUGAUAGUUGACUGGCAGCUAACACAACAACUGCACAGAUGCUUAUGCAUUGAGCAAAGACUGGAUGGCUGCCUGUUUCUGUUAAACCCGUGGCAAUUCCAUAUAUCAAUCUGAAGCAAUGGAAUUCAUUCAGGAACAUCCAUUUGAAUAAUAAAGGCGGGAAAAACUGAAAUCCGUCCACGAGCCUUGUGGAAAUUACAGAUGAAGAGGGUGGACUGUUAGUCAUGAUCAUGCUCCGGAAGUGCCACUGGUUAGGAUGAAGC